AGCAGCCGCGGUAAUUCCAGCUCCAAUAGCGUAUAUUAAAGUUGUUGCAGUUAAAAAGCUCGCAGUUGAAUUUCGGGGUUAGUAGGUUGGUCAUGCCUCUGGUAUGUACUGGUCUCACUGAUUCCUCCUUCCUGAUGAGCCGUAAUGCCAUUAAUUUGGUGUUGCGGGGAAUUUGGACUGUUACCUUGAAAAAUUGAGUGUUUAAAGCAAGCUAACGCUUGAAUACAUUAGCAUGGAAUAAUGAAAUAGGACGUUCGAUCCUAUUUUGUUGGUUUCUAGGAUUGACGUAUGAUUAAUAGGGAUAGUUGGGGCAUUAGUAUUCAAUUGUCAGAGGUGAAAUUCUUGGAUUUAUUGAAGACUAACUACUGCGAAGCAUUUGCCAAGGAUGUUUUCAUUAAUCAAGAACG
rnacentral:rRNA from 1 species